AGAGUUUGAUCCUGGCUCAGAACGAACGUUGGCGGCGUGGAUAAGACAUGCAAGUCGAACGAGAGAAUUGCUAGCUUGCUAAUAAUUCUCUAGUGGCGCACGGGUGAGUAACACGUGAGUAACCUGCCCCCGAGAGCGGGAUAGCCCUGGGAAACUGGGAUUAAUACCGCAUAGUAUCGAAAGAUUAAAGCAGCAAUGCGCUUGGGGAUGGGCUCGCGGCCUAUUAGUUAGUUGGUGAGGUAACGGCUCACCAAGGCGAUGACGGGUAGCCGGUCUGAGAGGAUGUCCGGCCACACUGGAACUGAGACACGGUCCAGACACCUACGGGUGGCAGCAGUCGAGAAUCAUUCACAAUGGGGGAAACCCUGAUGGUGCGACGCCGCGUGGGGGAAUGAAGGUCUUCGGAUUGUAAACCCCUGUCAUGUGGGAGCAAAUUAAAAAGAUAGUACCACAAGAGGAAGAGACGGCUAACUCUGUGCCAGCAGCCGCGGUAAUACAGAGGUCUCAAGCGUUGUUCGGAAUCACUGGGCGUAAAGCGUGCGUAGGCUGUUUCGUAAGUCGUGUGUGAAAGGCGCGGGCUCAACCCGCGGACGGCACAUGAUACUGCGAGACUAGAGUAAUGGAGGGGGAACCGGAAUUCUCGGUGCAGCAGUGAAAUGCGUAGAUAUCGAGAGGAACACUCGUGGCGAAGGCGGGUUCCUGGACAUUAACUGACGCUGAGGCACGAAGGCCAGGGGAGCGAAAGGGAUUAGAUACCCCUGUAGUCCUGGCAGUAAACGGUGCACGCUUGGUGUGCGGGGAAUCGACCCCCUGCGUGCCGGAGCUAACGCGUUAAGCGUGCCGCCUGGGGAGUACGGUCGCAAGAUUAAAACUCAAAGAAAUUGACGGGGACCCGCACAAGCGGUGGAGUAUGUGGCUUAAUUCGAUGCAACGCGAAGAACCUUACCUGGGCUUGACAUGUAAUGAACAACAUGUGAAAGCAUGCGACUCUUCGGAGGCGUUACACAGGUGCUGCAUGGCCGUCGUCAGCUCGUGUCGUGAGAUGUUUGGUUAAGUCCAGCAACGAGCGCAACCCCUGUUGCCAGUUACCAGCACGUGAAGGUGGGGACUCUGGCGAGACUGCCCAGAUCAACUGGGAGGAAGGUGGGGACGACGUCAGGUCAGUAUGGCCCUUAUGCCCAGGGCUGCACACGUACUACAAUGCCCAGUACAGAGGGGGCCGAAGCCGCGAGGCGGAGGAAAUCCUAAAAACUGGGCCCAGUUCGGACUGUAGGCUGCAACCCGCCUACACGAAGCCGGAAUCGCUAGUAAUGGCGCAUCAGCUACGGCGCCGUGAAUACGUUCCCGGGUCUUGCACACACCGCCCGUCA
rnacentral:rRNA from 1 species